AUGCAAAUCGACCAAAAAAAAACAACAACAAAAAAUUCAUUCGAGCGGCCAUCGAAACAGAAUAAAAUCAGAGAGGAAGGAACGAAAAAUCCCAAUAAACUGAAUAUUAAUGGAUAUAUAAUAUUAUCUCACCUCUGGUCUUUCGCUAUUUCUUUCGAAACCACGAAUACAGGUUCCGUCUUUCUAUAUUUCACCGUGUGUAGAUUUUCGAACAUUUUCAAAAGUGAACCCUAA